GACGAACGCUGGCGGCGUGCUUAACACAUGCAAGUCGAACGGAAAGGCCCUGCUUUUGUGGGGUGCUCGCGUGGCGAACGGGUGAGUAACCCGUGAGUAACCUGCCCAUGACUUUGGGAUAACUUCAGGAAACUGGGGCUACUACCGGCUAGGAGCUCCUGCUGCAUGGUGGGGGUUGGAAAGUUUAGGCGGUUGUGGAUGGACGGGCGGGUUAUCAGCUUGUUGGUGGGGUAGUGGCUUACCAAGGCUUUGACGGGUAGCCGGCCUGAGAGGGGGACCGGCGACAUGGGGACUGAGAUACGGACCAGACUCCUACGGGAGGCAGCAGUGGGGAAUAUUGCACAAUGGGCGGAAGCCUGAUGCAGCAACGCCGCGUGCGGGAUGACGGCCUUCGGGUUGUAAACCGCUUUCGCCUGUGACGAAGCGUGAGUGACGGUAAUGGGUAAAGAAGCACCGGCUAACUACGUG
rnacentral:rRNA from 1 species